GAUCUUGGUUCAGGAUGAACGCUAGCUACAGGUUUAACACAUGCAAGUCGAGGGGCAGCAUUGGAGUAGCAAUACUCAGAUGGCGACCGGCGCACGGGUGAGUAACACGUAUCCAACCUGCCGCUUACUCGGGGAUAGCCUUUCGAAAGAAAGAUUAAUACCCGAUGGUAUAAAGAGUUCGCAUGUUCUCUUUAUUAAAGAAUUUCGGUAAGCGAUGGGGAUGCGUUCCAUUAGAUAGUUGGCGGGGUAACGGCCCACCAAGUCUACGAUGGAUAGGGGUUCUGAGAGGAAGGUCCCCCACAUUGGAACUGAGACACGGUCCAAACUCCUACGGGAGGCAGCAGUGAGGAAUAUUGGUCAAUGGACGAGAGUCUGAACCAGCCAAAGUAGCGUGAAGGAUGACUGCCCUAUGGGUUGUAAACUUCUUUUAUAAGGGAAUAAAGUGAGGGACGUGUCCCUUUUUGUAUGUACCUUAUGAAUAAGGAUCGGCUAACUCCGUGCCAGCCGCCGC
rnacentral:rRNA from 1 species